AUGUUGGUGCUGUUUGAGACGCCCACUGGGUUCGCCGUUUUCAAGGUUCUGAACAAGGGCAAGCUCGACAAGAUCAAGGAAUCUAUGGAAGGAGUUCACCACAUCGGACUCGGUGAGAAAGUCAAUUAUCCAUUUCGUUCAGCAUGGUGGCCAAGAUGCAGCAGCCCCAUGCUUUGUUCCGAUGGGCCUCCUCUACUCGAUGGUUGCCGCUGGUUGAGUUUGGUAUGGUUUCCUAUUGUUGCUUGUGUCGAGCCAUGGGUCCGUCUUUCCUUCGUAUUGAGUCUACUUCUCCUGUCGCUGGUGCUUCUUCUUCUCGUCCGUCCUGCUACUUAA
rnacentral:rRNA from 1 species